rnacentral:rRNA from 1 species
UACGUAGGGUGCGAGCGUUGUCCGGAAUUAUUGGGCGUAAAGAGCUCGUAGGCGGUCUGUCGCGUCGAAUGUGAAAACCCGGGGCUCAACUCCGGGCUUGCACUCGAUACGGGCAGGCUAGAGUUCGGUAGGGGAGUCUGGAAUUCCUGGUGUAGCGGUGAAAUGCGCAGAUAUCAGGAGGAACACCGGUGGCGAAGGCGGGACUCUGGGCCGAUACUGACGCUGAGGAGCGAAAGCGUGGGGAGCGAACAGG